GUGGGGAAUCUUAGACAAUGGGGGCAACCCUGAUCUAGCCAUGCCGCGUGAGUGAUGAAGGCCUUAGGGUCGUAAAGCUCUUUCGCUGGGGAAGAUAAUGACGGUACCCAGUAAAGAAACCCCGGCUAACUCCGUGCCAGCAGCCGCGGUAAUACGGAGGGGGUUAGCGUUGUUCGGAAUUACUGGGCGUAAAGCGCGCGUAGGCGGAUUGGAAAGUUGGGGGUGAAAUCCCGGGGCUCAACCCUGGAAUGGCCUUCAAAACUCCCAGUCUUGAGGUCGAGAGAGGUGAGUGGAAUUCCGGGUGCAGAGGUGAAAUUCGUAGAUAUUCGGAGGAACACCAGUGGCGAAGGCGGCUCACUGGCUCGAUACUGACGCUGAGGUGCGAAAGCGUGGGGAGCAAACAGGAUUAGAAACCCCAGUAGUCC
rnacentral:rRNA from 1 species